CUGAUCCAAGACUAGCCAUGCACGUCUAGUACAAACUAAGUGAUGGUGAAACUGCAAAUGGCUCAUUACAACGGUUAUGAUGUACCCGGGAGUUCCGAUGGAUAUUUCCAGUAACACUAGAACUAAUACAUGUCCCUGCGUUUAUUAGUUUCGCACAGUCCGUCGCUGAGUCAUGGUAAACAGUUGAUCGACUCGACGUCCCGGAACAGUUUCCGCCCCAUCAGCUUCGAUGGUUGGGUAUUGGCCUACCAUUGCAACAACGGGUAACGAGGAAUUAGGGUUUGAUUUCGGAGAGGGAGCCUGAGAAACGGCUACCACAUCUACGGAUGGCAGCAGGCGCGCAAAUUACCCAAUGCAGACACUGUGAGGUAGUGACGAGAAAUAAUAAAGCGGGACUUCUGUUUCGCUAUUAUAAUGAGGAAUAACCAAAGGUCAUUCCGAUUAGCAACUGAUGGGAAAGUCUGGUGCCAGCAGCCGCGGUAAUACCAGCGUCAGUAGCA
rnacentral:rRNA from 1 species